rnacentral:tRNA from 1 species
GCCCUUGUAGUACAACCGGUUAGUACACCUAAUUGGAUUUUAGGAAAUGUCAGUUCAAUUCUGGCCAGGGACA